UCAGGCCUUGGGGGGUCAUGGUUCUCCCGCGCUCGGGGUGGGCUCGUGGUGAGACGAGGGUGCGCAUAACGCUGUGCGCAGUUGGCUGCACUCUGACCCGGAACAGGAAGCGCUGCGGGCGGGUCACCUGCCCUGAGGUAACCUCCGCGGAGGGCGUAGCCAGAGCUAAUGCUGAGUCAGCUCCUCAGUUGUGCCCCGAUGUUUGUGUCAGGCGGCAAGCAUUUGGAUGUGUAUUCUCAGAAGUGGAAACAUGUUCAAACAAGAAGUAGUUCAUAAAUAUGCAUUGUAUAUAGGCCCAAAGUAGAAACAACCUGAAUAUCCAUGAGGUGAUGGACAGAUGUGAUAUAGAUGCACAACAGGAUUGUAAAAGGCUUUCAGUUGGCUAUGAAUCUACAGUCCACUCUCCAGUUGUGAAAGAUGAGUAAUUAUAGACUCCCUGGACAUUGCAAAAUCCAAACAACAGACACCUUCUGGUUGAUCUCUACAGUGAUAAGGCUGAGAAGCCAGUGUUAUCAUCCAUCUCGUUAUCUUCAUAUUUAAAUGGCAUCUGAGAAGAUAUAUGACUACUCUCUGGGGACAUGUUUGAAAACGUCAUUUGGAAGUUGUGUAUGGACUGACAAGAUGGCUCAGCAGAAAAAGAUGCUUGCUGGGCAAGCUUGGUGACCUGAAUUCGAUUCCCAGAACCCAUGUAAAGGUGUGGGGAGAGAACUGACUUUACAAAGUUGUCCUUUGACCUCCAUAGAUGUGUCCCCUCCCCCAACUAACAAUACAUAGUAAAUAAGUUUAAAAGUUAUCUAUGAGUGGGGUGUGGGAUGUGCUCAGUGGCAGAGUGCUUGCCCUGUGUGCAGAAUGCUCUGAGUUCCAUUGACAUCCCUAAAAAACCAGAAACAGAACCCUAGUAGUUAUCUAGGAUUCAAAUCUCCUGUACUCCUCUGACUGGUGACAGAAUUUACCCACAUUCUUUAAUCAAAACAUAUUCAGGGACAGGGUGGGAAAGAGAGGCAGAGACAGAGAGACAGAAAUCUUUGAGAAAUGGCAGCAUAACGCGACCCUGCCCGAGAGCUCUUCCUCUGUGCCACCACGAGAGAAAUGCAGGAUGUCCUGUGGGGAACAGCUUUGCUCUUGGCAUGGCAGGCAGAAAGUAGGGGACUGAAAGUCAAGAAGAGGACCAACCAGGGGGUCAAGUGAUUGAAGCCAGCAAAGCAAGAAGGCCUAGAAGGAAAGGCCAAGAGGCUGUUGGGUUGAGGAGCCCAGUGACAGCAUGAGGAUUUAUCAUCCCAUCCUAAGCCACUGCCACAGCAUUUUAUUGGUGGUUUUAUUAUUGUUUGUGUUCCUCCUUUAUAAAAACAGGAAAGUUUUUUUUAAGCUAAUGAUGAUUUUAUUUUUAAGGCUAUCAUGAUUGACAUCAGCAUGUGCUGGUGUUUUAUAAACUGACCAUAGGUAUCACCCCCUAAGUAAGCAAGAGUGUUUUUUCCUACUGCUGUGAUUCUUGAUUUUGAGAGGGAACUACCCAUGUGGACGAAGCACCUUCUGAAAUGAGUGGUGGGUUCUGAAUUGU